rnacentral:rRNA from 1 species
UGGGGAAUAUUGGACAAUGGGCGGAAGCCUGAUCCAGCAACGCCGCGUGAGGGAUGACGGCCUUCGGGUUGUAAACCUCUUUCAGUACCGACGAAGCGGAAGUGACGGUAGGUACAGAAGAAGCACCGGCCAACUACGUGCCAGCAGCCGCGGUAAUACGUAGGGUGCGAGCGUUGUCCGGAAUUAUUGGGCGUAAAGGGCUCGUAGGCGGUUUGUCGCGUCGGGAGUGAAAACACUGGGCUUAACUCAGUGCUUGCUUCCGAUACGGGCAGACUAGAGGCAUGCAGGGGAGAACGGAAUUCCUGGUGUAGCGGUGAAAUGCGCAGAUAUCAGGAGGAACACCGGUGGCGAAGGCGGUUCUCUGGGCAUGUCCUGACGCUGAGGAGCGAAAGUGUGGGGAGCGAACAGGAUUAGAUACCCUGGUAGUCCACACCGUAAACGUUGGGCGCUAGGUGUGGGGCCUAUUCCAGGUUCGUGCCGCAGCUAACNCAUUAAGCGCCCCGCCUGGGGAGUACGGCCGCAAGGCU